GACAGAGGGGGCAAGCGUUGUUCGGAAUUACUGGGCGUAAAGGGCGCGUAGGCGGCCUUCUAAGUCGAACGUGAAACCCCCAGGCUCAACCUGGGGACGCCACCCGAUACUGCUGUGGCUAGAGUCCAGUAGGGGAGUGUGGAAUUCCCGGUGUAGCGGUGAAAUGCGCAGAUAUCGGGAGGAACACCAGCGGCGAAGGCGGCACUCUGGGCUGGAACUGACGCUGAGGAGCGAAAGCGUGGGUAGCAAACAGG
rnacentral:rRNA from 1 species